rnacentral:lncRNA from 1 species
AUGUGUCAUUCCCUGUGGCUAGGAGGCACUAAAACACUGAUCUCCAGAGUCCCAGAUUGGUGCCUUACCCACAAGCCUUUCCAACGGUUUUCUCCUCCCUUGUGUAGGAUAAAUGAAGCUGCAGAUUGCCACAUGCUGACUUCUGGUCUAAUCCAAUGUGUUCCCUCCCCAUCUCAGUUCCUGACUGAGCCAGAACCUGCGGGAACAUCUGUCUCACCUUGGAGAGUCUUCCCUCAGGGCUACUGCUCUCUGCCCUGCCAUCACUAGACACCAGUGCUUUCCCGGAUGUGAUGUAGGAUUCUUUCUAUAAUGCCCAGGACAGUGCCCCAAAGAAACGAAAAGGAAAAGACCAGAGUGGGUAAGUGAUGCUCAGUGGGGUAGUUUGGAAUUAGCCAGAGGGAUUCUUUUCAGAGCUUCUCCACUUCUAGCUUCAUCUCCAGUGUUUCAGCAACCAGAGCAAGAGCCACCUCCAGAAGCCCCUUCGCUGACGGUACCUACGCACAGGUAUUGCCUGAGAAUAACUUGUGAUCAGGGCACCAGAACUGGGGGUGCCCAGGGUCCAUGGC